rnacentral:rRNA from 1 species
UAAGGAAUCUUCCACAAUGGGCGCAAGCCUGAUGGAGCGACGCCGCGUGCGCGAAGAAGCCCUUCGGGGUGUAAAGCGCUUUUCUCAGGGAUGAAUACUGACAGUACCUGAGGAAGAAGCCUCGGCUAACUACGUGCCAGCAGCCGCGGUAAUACGUAGGAGGCAAGCGUUGUCCGGAAUCACUGGGCGUAAAGCGCGUGUAGGUGGUGGGACAAGUCUGCUGUGAAAGCGCCUGGCUUAACCGGGCGAGGUCGGCGGAAACUGUCUCACUUGAGGACGGUAGAGGGGGGUGGAAUUCCCGGUGUAGUGGUGAAAUGCGUAGAGAUCGGGAGGAACACCUGUGGCGAAGGCGGCCCCCUGGGCCGGCCCUGACACUGAGACGCGAAGGCGUGGGGAGCGAACGGG